rnacentral:rRNA from 1 species
CCUACGGGUGGCAGCAGUGGGGAAUAUUGGACAAUGGGCGCAAGCCUGAUCCAGCCAUGCCGCGUGAGUGAUGAAGGCCCUAGGGUUGUAAAGCUCUUUCGGCGGGGAAGAUAAUGACGGUACCCGCAGAAGAAGCCCCGGCCAACUUCGUGCCAGCAGCCGCGGUAAUACGAAGGGGGCUAGCGUUGCUCGGAAUCACUGGGCGUAAAGCGCACGUAGGCGGGUCCUUAAGUCGGGGGUGAAAUCCUGGAGCUCAACUCCAGAACUGCCUUCGAUACUGAGGACCUCGAGUCCGGGAGAGGUGAGUGGAACUCCGAGUGUAGAGGUGAAAUUCGUAGAUAUUCGGAAGAACACCAGUGGCGAAGGCGGCUCACUGGCCCGGUACUGACGCUGAGGUGCGAAAGCGUGGGGAGCAAACAGGAUUAGAUACCCCGGUAGUC